UGUAUAUCUGAUCUAUUAUAUAUUUAAGAUAAAAAUAUAUGAGACCCAUAUAUUUAAUAGAUGAGUUUCAUUAAAUAUUUUGUAUAUUUGAUUCAUGAUAUAUAGAGUAUACACAAGAAAAAUCACUAAAAAUAAUAGCGUUUAGUUAUUUAUUUUUUAAAUGAAUUCAUAAUUUUCCUUUUACAGAAUCCAUUAUUAACACUAAAGUUCUAACAGUGCAGAUUUCUG
rnacentral:misc_RNA from 1 species